rnacentral:rRNA from 1 species
AGAGUUUGAUCCUGGCUCAGAUUGAACGCUGGCGGCAUGCCUUACACAUGCAAGUCGAACGGUAACGCGGGGCAACCUGGCGACGAGUGGCGAACGGGUGAGUAAUACAUCGGAACGUGCCCAGUAGUGGGGGAUAGCCCGGCGAAAGCCGGAUUAAUACCGCAUACGACCUACGGGUGAAAGCAGGGGAUCGCAAGACCUUGCGCUAUUGGAGCGGCCGAUGUCAGAUUAGGUAGUUGGUGGGGUAAAAGCCUACCAAGCCUACGAUCUGUAGCUGGUCUGAGAGGACGACCAGCCACACUGGGACUGAGACACGCCCCAGACUCCUACGGGAGGCAGCAGUGGGGAAUUUUGGACAAUGGGCGCAAGCCUGAUCCAGCCAUGCCGCGUGCGGGAAGAAGGCCUUCGGGUUGUAAACCGUUUUUGUCAGGGAAGAAACGCUCCGGGCCAAUACCCUGGAGUAAUGACGGUACCUGAAGAAUAAGCACCGGCUAACUACGUGCCAGCAGCCGCGGUAAUACGUAGGGUGCAAGCGUUAAUCGGAAUUACUGGGCGUAAAGCGUGCGCAGGCGGUCUUGCAAGACAGAUGUGAAAUCCCCGGGCUCAACCUGGGAACUGCAUUUGUGACUGCAAGGCUGGAGUACGGUAGAGGGGGAUGGAAUUCCGCGUGUAGCAGUGAAAUGCGUAGAUAUGCGGAGGAACACCGAUGGCGAAGGCAAUCCCCUGGACCUGUACUGACGCUCAUGCACGAAAGCGUGGGAGCAAACAGGAUUAGAUACCCUGGUAGUCCACGCCCUAAACGAUGUCAACUGGUUGUUGGGAAGGUUCCUUCUCAGUAACGUAGCUAACGCGUGAAGUUGACCGCCUGGGGAGUACGGCCGCAAGGUUGAAACUCAAAGGAAUUGACGGGGACCCGCACAAGCGGUGGAUGAUGUGGUUUAAUUCGACGCAACGCGAAAAACCUUACCUACCCUUGACAUGGCUAGAAUUCCGCAGAGAUGUGGAAGUGCUCGAAAGAGAGCUAGCACACAGGUGCUGCAUGGCCGUCGUCAGCUCGUGUCGUGAGAUGUUGGGUUAAGUCCCGCAACGAGCGCAACCCUUGUCAUUAGUUGCUACGAAAGGGCACUCUAAUGAGACUGCCGGUGACAAACCGGAGGAAGGUGGGGAUGACGUCAGGUCAUCAUGGCCCUUAUGGGUAGGGCUACACACGUCAUACAAUGGCCGGUACAGAGGGCUGCCAACCCGCGAGGGGGAGCUAAUCCCAGAAAACCGGUCGCAGUCCGGAUCGCAGUCUGCAACUCGACUGCGUGAAGUCGGAAUCGCUAGUAAUCGCGGAUCAGCUUGCCGCGGUGAAUACGUUCCCGGGUCUUGUACACACCGCCCGUCACACCAUGGGAGCGGGUUCUGCCAGAAGUAGUUAGCCUAACCGCAAGGAGGGCGAUUACCACGGCAGGGUUCGC